UGGAGUGUAGCUCAGUGGGAGAGCAUCCCCUUCACACGGGGAGGGUCGUAGGUUCAAUCCCUAUCACUCCAACCA
rnacentral:tRNA from 1 species